rnacentral:rRNA from 1 species
AUACCCCACUAUGCCUAGCAAUUAACAAUGAUAACCUACACUAAACCUCCGCCAGGGUACUACGAGCAACAGCUUGAAACCCAAAGGACUUGGCGGUGCCUAAAACCCCCUCAGAGGAGCCUGUUCUGUAAUCGACAACCCACGCUAAACCUCACCACCCGUUGCCAACUCAGCCUAUAUACCACCGUCGCCAGCCUACCUUUUGAAAGAAAAACAGUAAGCAAAAUGACCACAUCAAUACGUCAGGUCAAGGUGUAGCACAUAGGGUGGAAAGAAAUGGGCUACAUUUUCUUUAUAAAGAACACACGAAGAAGCUUACUGAAACCUAACUUUAAAGGAGGAUUUGAUAGUAAAAAGAAAUAAUUAUGUUCUAUUUAAGCCGGCCCUAAGGCGCGCACACACC